CGAUUUUGUCCAUGACUCCAUCUCCAAAAUGCUCCUCUACCUCUCUCUCUCUCUCCACGGCGGGCCGGCUGCCUCGGCGGCCCGGUAGUCUGCCUGCCCGAGUGCCGCCCCCUCAAGAUGCCGCGCCAGACGCUCGCCAUCGUCAAUGCGAAAGCCAGGUCCGAUCUAGGGGUAGGGCUCUCGAUUUUUGUCUCAAUGUUGUUCCAGGGGAUAGGAUUGGGCCUUUCCAGAUCUGUGGGGACGAAGAUUGCAGGAAGAGGGCCGAGAAUGCGCAAGUCGCUCGCGGAGUCGCGGUGCUUUUGGGGAAAAAGAGUUGGAUCUUUGCUGAAGCUCGCAGAGGCAUUGAGCUCCCAUCGAUUGAUCCAUCAUUUAGAUCUCUUUCAUUGGCUUAACUCGCGCUGUAUUGCAUGGUCGCACCAGAAGUCGCAGAGAAUGACUGGGAGGUUUUCAGAAGUUCUUUAUCUGCUUUGGCUGUUAGAAAUACCAAACUAAAGGCUAAAUUGAAAGAAGUUGAAAGUCAGGCAGAUCUUAGUAAAAGAAACAUGGAUCACCAGAACUGUGCAAAACAAUGAUGGACUGACUUGUUUUCACUGACCUAGACUUUAUCUAAAAGACUCUUGGAGACUUGUUGGCUGUUUGCAUGAGUUGUGUCUUGCUGUAAAUAUGAAUAGAGAAUAAAUCAAUGAAUUAGGUUUGCUUUCUAUGAUUCCUAAAACAUAUGUCUAGGAAGAAUUCUGCAUUUGGGAAAUGUUAAAGUGGACUAUAGCAUCCAUUUACUACCAAUUUAUCACUCUAUUCUUCAA